rnacentral:rRNA from 1 species
CCUACGGGAGGCAGCAGUGGGGAAUUUUGGACAAUGGGCGCAAGCCUGAUCCAGCAAUGCCGCGUGAGUGAAGAAGGCCUUUGGGUUGUAAAGCUCUUUUGUCAGGGAAGAAACGGUGGAGGUUAAUACCUUCUGCUAAUGACGGUACCUGAAGAAUAAGCACCGGCUAACUACGUGCCAGCAGCCGCGGUAAUACGUAGGGUGCAAGCGUUAAUCGGAAUUACUGGGCGUAAAGCGUGCGCAGGCGGUUGUGCAAGACAGAUGUGAAAUCCCCGGGCUCAACCUGGGAAUUGCAUUUGUGACUGUACGGCUAGAGUGUGUCAGAGGGGGGUAGAAUUCCACGUGUAGCAGUGAAAUGCGUAGAGAUGUGGAGGAAUACCGAUGGCGAAGGCAGCCCCCUGGGAUAACACUGACGCUCAUGCACGAAAGCGUGGGGAGCAAACAGGAUUAGAUACCCCGGUAGUCCACGCCCUAAACGAUGUCUACUAGUUGUCGGGUCUUUAUUGACUUGGUAACGCNGCGACGACGNGAGUAGACGCCGCGGGUGGUACGGUCGCGAGUAAGUUAAAGUUAACGUAAGAAGUUAGAGGCGNGAGAGNGCGACGGACGACGACGAGGGAGGAGG